CACCGCCUGGGGAGUACGACCGCAAGGUUAAAACUCAAAUGAAUUGACGGGGACCCGCACAAGUAGUGGAGCAUGUGGUUUAAUUCGAAGAUACGCGCAGAACCUUACCAACACUUGACAUGUUCGUCGCGACUUUAAGAGAUUAAAGUUUUCGGUUCGGCCGGACGAAACACAGGUGCUGCAUGGCCGUCGUCAGCUCGUGUCGUGAGAUGUUGGGUUAAGUCCCGCAACGAGCGCAACCCUCACUUUUAGUUGCCAUCAUUUAGUUGGGCACUCUGAAAGAACUGCCAGUGAUAAGCUGGAGGAAGGUGGGGAUGACGUCAAGUCCUCAUGGCCCUUACGUGUUGGGCUACACACGUGCUACAAUGGUAUUUACAACAGGAAGCAAGACGGCGACGUUAAGCAAAUCCUCAAAAAAUACCUCAGUUCGGAUUGCACUCUGCAACUCGAGUGCAUGAAGCUGGAAUUACUAGUAAUCGUGGAUCAGCGUGCCACGGUGAAUGCGUUCCCGGGUCUUGUACACACCGCCCGUCACACCAUGGGAGUUGGUUCUACCUUAAGGCAAGGUUUAAUACCCUUGACCACGGUAUAGUCAGCGACUGGGGUGAAGUCGUAACAAGGUAGCCGUAGGGGAACCUGCGGCUGGAUUACCUCCUUUCUAAGGAUGAGCAAGAGUAAAAUUUUGCUCUAAAUAAUAUACAGGUUAAUGUUGACCGUCCUCAUUUCUCUUCUUGAAUUAGUGUUUCUCUUGCAUGGGGGCCGGUAGCUCAGUUGGUUAGAGCACACCCUUGAUAAGGGUGGGGUCGAAAGUUCGAGUCUUUCUCGGCCCACCAACUUAAGAUUAAGGGGGAUUAGCUCAGCUGGGAGAGCGCCUGAUUUGCAUUCAGGAGGUCAGCGGUUCGAUCCCGCUAUCCUCCACCAAACACUUAGUUAUAUAAAUCGUGAAUUAUGAAAUAAUAAUUAAUAUCAAUAUCUAUAUCCGAACAUUAGUAAUGUUAUUAGCUAAUGUUCAUAAUAAAAAUUUGAUUCAACACAGAAUUUUUUUCUG
rnacentral:sRNA from 1 species